CCCGCAACGAGCGCAACCCUUGUCAUUAGUUGCUACAUUUAGUUGGGCACUCUAAUGAGACUGCCGGUGAUAAACCGGAGGAAGGUGGGGAUGACGUCAAGUCCUCAUGGCCCUUAUAGGUGGGGCUACACACGUCAUACAAUGGCUGGUACAGAGGGUUGCCAACCCGCGAGGGGGAGCUAAUCCCAUAAAGCCAGUCGUAGUCCGGAUCGCAGUCUGCAACUCGACUGCGUGAAGUCGGAAUCGCUAGUAAUCGCGGAUCAGAAUGUCGCGGUGAAUACGUU
rnacentral:rRNA from 1 species